UGGUCUUUAUUUUCAAGAUUUUGUGAAAUNUGAGUAAUGUCAUACAUCCAAGGUCUAAUGCUGGAUAUGAUUAUAUAUUUGACUUUUUCUUUCUUGACAUCAAUGCACACAUGCUUGAAUUUAUUGGCAAAAGGAUGAUUUUGAAGAGAAUGAGAGUCAUUUGGAAUGGUUUGGAAGACUGGGACCAGCACAUGGGUACUUCAAUCCUCAAAGGAGACGUAAUAUGUGAGUGUCAAGACGAAACACAAUAUAUCAAAAGUUUUGCCCCAGUUUUGUGUUUAGGAAAAUGAGCUGGGGUUUGGAUCCAUGACAAUUAGGAUGAAAAUUUCAAAUGAGAUUUGCAAAGCUGCCCUAGUCUUGAGGUUACGGGUUGAUGAAUUUCAGGGCGAAGAUGUGUGGUGAAAUCCAUGGUGGGCAUGAAAAGGAUAGGCUAAAAGGAUGGCCCCCAAUGGGUUUGAUUUUUCUUUUGCAUGCUUCUGGUUGGAUGGUAGGGUGAUCCCCUCUUCCCUAGACAUCACUUUUUCUUUUUUUUUUUUUUUUUUGCGUUUUUGUUCUACGACACAUUGAUAGUCAUUUCACCUUAUCGCAAAAUUAAGCUUUAUGAAAACUUUAGCAAACAAUAUCCAAUCUGCGUGGACUUUAUUAGGCUUGUAACGUGGCUAAGGGCUAAAAGGUAUUGAAAGAAAGGAUAUAAAGGCCCAAAUGAAUGUUUGUUGGUUAUUAUUUUUUUUUUGAAACAAGG
rnacentral:lncRNA from 1 species